rnacentral:rRNA from 1 species
UCGAACGCGGUUGCCCCGCAAGGGGUAACUGAGUGGCGAACGGGUGAGUAACACGUGGGUGACCUACCCUCGAGUGGGGGAUAACAUCCCGAAAGGGGUGCUAAUACCGCAUGACAUCCUGUCUUUGAACAGAUGGACAUUAAAGCCGGGGAUCGCAAGACCUGGCGCUCGUGGAGGGGCCCGCGCCCGAUUAGCUAGUUGGUGAGGUAAUGGCUCACCAAGGCUACGAUCGGUAUCCGGCCUGAGAGGGCGGACGGACACACUGGGACUGAGACACGGCCCAGACUCCUACGGGAGGCAGCAGUGGGGAAUUGUUCGCAAUGGGCGAAAGCCUGACGACGCAACGCCGCGUGGAGGACGAAGAUCUUCGGGUCGUAAACUCCUUUCGAUCGGGACGAAUGAUCGGCGACCUAAUACGUCGUCGGAAUGACGGUACCGAGAGAAGAAGCCCCGGCUAACUCCGUGCCAGCAGCCGCGGUAAUACGGGGGGGGCAAGCGUUGUUCGGAAUUACUGGGCGUAAAGGGCGCGUAGGCGGCCCUCUAAGUCAGACGUGAAAUCCCACGGCUCAACCGUGGAACUGCGUCUGAUACUGGAGGGCUUGAAUCCGGGAGAGGGAUGUGGAAUUCCAGGUGUAGCGGUGAAAUGCGUAGAUAUCUGGAGGAACACCGGUGGCGAAGGCGGCAUCCUGGACCGACACUGACGCUGAGGAGCGAAAGCCAGGGGAGCAAACGGGAUUAGAUACCCCGGUAGUCCUGGCCCUAAACG